ACUUUAAAUCCUUUAACUAGGAACAAUUGGAGGGCAAGUCUGGUGCCAGCAGCCGCGGUAAUUCCAGCUCCAAUAGCGUAUAUUAAAGUUGUUGCGGUUAAAAAGCUCGUAGUUGGAUCUCACCGGGUAGUGGGUCGUUCGUUUUCGACGAUACGUCUCCAUUUAUCCGUGAUAUUGACUGAGGAUUGGGGUGCGCUUUAUUGUGUUGUCCCGAUGCUCGUCAGGUUUACUUUGAAAAAAUUAGAGUGCUCAAAGCAGGCUUUUACAGCUUGAAUAUUCGUGCAUGGAAUAAUAGAAUAGGAUGUCGUUUCUAUUUUGUUGGUCUUUUGGGAUUCGACAUAAUGAUUAAUAGGGACAGUCGGGGGCAUUAGUAUUCAGACGACAGAGGUGAAAUUCUUGGACCGUCUGAAGACUAACUACUGCGAAAGCAUUUGCCAAGAAUGUUUUCAUUAAUCAAGAACGAAAGUUAGAGGUUCGAAGGCGAUCAGAUACCGCCCUAGUUCUAACCAUAAACAAUGCCAACUAGCGAUCCGCUGCUGUUUUUUAUUACGGCACAGCGGGAAGCUUCCGGGAAACCAAAGUCUUUGGGUUCCGGGGGAAGUAUGGUUGCAAAGCUGAAACUUAAAGGAGUUGACGGAAGGG
rnacentral:rRNA from 1 species